AUUGAACGCUGGCGGCAGGCUUAACACAUGCAAGUCGAGCGGAGAGAGGUAGCUUGCUACUGAUCUUAGCGGCGGACGGGUGAGUAAUGCUUAGGAAUCUGCCUAUUAGUGGGGGACAACAUUUCGAAAGGAAUGCUAAUACCGCAUACGUCCUACGGGAGAAAGCGGGGGCUCUUCGGACCUCGCGCUAACAGAUGAGCCUAGGUCGGGUUAGCUAGUUGGUGGGGUAAUGGCCCACCAAGGCGACGAUCCGUAACUGGUCUGAGAGGAUGAUCAGUCACACUGGAACUGAGACACGGUCCAGACUCCUACGGGAGGCAGCAGUGGGGAAUAUUGGACAAUGGGCGAAAGCCUGAUCCAGCCAUGCCGCGUGUGUGAAGAAGGUCUUCGGAUUGUAAAGCACUUUAAGUCGGGAGGAAGGGCUGUAGGCUAAUACCUUGCAGUUUUGACGUUACCGACAGAAUAAGCACCGGCUAACUUCGUGCCAGCCGCCGCAGUAA
rnacentral:rRNA from 1 species